AUCGAACGCUGACGGCAUGCCUUACACAUGCAAGUCGAGCGGCAGCGUGGGGGCAACCCUGGCGGCGAGCGGCGCACGGGUGAGUAAUACAUCGGAACGUGUCCUUUCGUGGGGGAUAACCAGUCGAAAGAUUGGCUAAUACCGCAUGAGAUCUCACGAUGAAAGCGGGGGAUCCGAGGGUAACUUCGGGCCUCGCGCGAUUGGAGCGGCCGAUGUCGGAUAGCUAGUUGGCGGGGUAAAAGCCCACCAAGGCGACGAUCCGUAGCUGGUUUGAGAGAACGACCAGCCACACUGGGACUGAGACACGGCCCAGACUCCUACGGGAGGCAGCAGUGGGGAAUUUUGGACAAUGGGGGCAACCCUGAUCCAGCCAUGCCGCGUGUGUGAAGAAGGCCUCGGUUGUAAG
rnacentral:rRNA from 1 species